GCUGCCUUCAAGAGAUGUUUGACAGUGAGAGAGCCCUUUACCAGCCUCCUACAAACCAAACAAAAGAAUGUGGGUCAAGCAAGGUGCCAUGUGUUCACUGCUCCAGGGAGCCUUCUCUGCCAGAUGGACUGCCCUAACCCUGACACACUCACUCACAAAGCCCUCACAUUGUGCCGCUUGGAGAUCUGAAAAGGGACUUCCUCCUUUUUCAAAGUAACGGGGCCAAAAGGAAGUUGCUGUAUUAACAUUUAUUUACCCGAGCCCUUUGUCCAUGGUGACUUGCAAUGUUAGAUAAGUAAGGUGACAAUUAGUAACCCAUGUAUACAAUAGGGUAUUCUUACUGUAUCAAACCAGGCACAUAGGCACUACACCAAGAGCAGGAAUUUGAACCCAGCAUCUUCAGAUUAGAAGACAAGAGCCCUCAGCAUAACAUUGCUGCUGCCCCACUUGAGCUGAAGGGUGGUGCGCCUUCGUUGCUUUGCUUCCGUUUCAUCCUAAAUAAUAUAUGAUCAUACAGGUUUAUACAUCAGGAUACUGUACUUUAAUGUAAAAAGUGAGGGAUCCCCUUCAGGGCAGUGGUUGAGGAUCAUAGAGAAUAUUGGUGGUCUUCGUAGCUCGGGUGGAUGGUUGAGGUGUUCGUUGUUUGCCGAACUUGGCAUUUAUGUUGCAGCCAUUUCAUCACCAGUCAAGGUGACAUCAUCAGUAUGCAAGUUGUAUGAUUUGUGUUGGGUGCUUCCUCCUUUAUAUAUGGUUUGAUGGGUGGGAUUGCCUGAAGCUUGGACAUGAUUGGUUGGUUUCAUGUGACCUUGAGCAUGAGCAGUUCUUCUGACUUCUGAUUGGUCAGUUGCUGGUUUCAAACCGGAAUCGGUUUGAUACUGGUUAGGUCCUUGUUGGUCCCCGUUUUGUAUUGGCUUGUAGAUGGCGUCCAGUUCAAUAUGUUUGUUUGUGGAAUUGACCGAAGAGUACCAGGCCUCAAGGAACUCCCUCGAAUGAUGCUGAAUAACAAAGUAUCCAUGAUUAAGAUUCCAAUAGGAGGAAGAGUCUUUUGCGAUGCACCACCUAAACUCUGGAAUAAUCUGCAAGGUAAUAUCAGGAAUAUCUCUCUCGUCUCAGCCUUUAAAUCCAGGCUUAAAACUUACCUGCUGUAGAGUUUUUUUGUCUUCCUCUCCACUGUUGCCAGCUGGAUCACUCUGUGGUUGUUUAUGGGUGUUAUAAAUAACCUUGUUUAUAACUCUAACCUUGUUCAGCAUCCUGCAUCACUCUGGUGAGAAGAGCACCCUAUAAAAUAAAAUGAAGUUGAAACUGGAUGUUGCUGCA
rnacentral:lncRNA from 1 species